CUUGGAUGUCACGUGUGACCUUAGCAACUGCAUGUGAACUUAGGCAACUGACCUAACCUGUCUCCAUUUACCCAGGAAAAGAAUGAAAUAUUUGAAAUACAAGGACAAGUGGCAGAACAGGGUAAAAUCAUAGAGACUCUUCAGAUAAAAAUAAACCACCUACAAGAGGAGCUCAAAACCUCAGAAGUAGCUGCUUUCCAGCCAGCAAUGCAGGAGGAAGGCUGCUCAGAGCCACCGAUGCAUGAGAGGACCAAAGGAAACCUGAGCCAGAAGUUAAUGAAUAGGUAUUUAAAGAAAACACUUUCCUGGUUCAGGAACCCAUGGGAGCAGUUUGGCAAAGUCUUAUUGUGCCUAACCAUUCUUCUCACACUGAUUAUAUUGUAUAGACAUUUCUUUUCUACUACUUUGAUAUGCCCGUUACUGAAAGGGUACCACCGCCACAACUACACUGGUCACCUUCGACCACACUGACACAGAAGAUAUGAAAUAAUGGCAUGGAUUGCGACAACACUGUUCUACUAAAAUGCUUCUGGGAAAAGCAGCACCUGAAAUAAUUAACUAAAAAAAUAAAGCUUCCAUC